UGGCGGCAUGCCUUACACAUGCAAGUCGAACGGCAGCACGGAGCUUGCUCUGGUGGCGAGUGGCGAACGGGUGAGUAAUAUAUCGGAACGUACCCUAGAGUGGGGGAUAACGUAGCGAAAGUUACGCUAAUACCGCAUACGAUCUAAGGAUGAAAGUGGGGGAUCGCAAGACCUCAUGCUCGUGGAGCGGCCGAUAUCUGAUUAGCUAGUUGGUAGGGUAAAAGCCUACCAAGGCAUCGAUCAGUAGCUGGUCUGAGAGGACGACCAGCCACACUGGAACUGAGACACGGUCCAGACUCCUACGGGAGGCAGCAGUGGGGAAUUUUGGACAAUGGGCGAAAGCCUGAUCCAGCAAUGCCGCGUGAGUGAAGAAGGCCUUCGGGUUGUAAAGCUCUUUUGUCAGGGAAGAAACGGUGAGAGCUAAUAUCUCUUGCUAAUGACGGUACCUGAAGAAUAAGCACCGGCUAACUACGUGCCAGCAGCCGCGGUAAUACGUAGGGUGCAAGCGUUAAUCGGAAUUACUGGGCGUAAAGCGUGCGCAGGCGGUUUUGUAAGUCUGAUGUGAAAUCCCCGGGCUCAACCUGGGAAUUGCAUUGGAGACUGCAAGGCUAGAAUCUGGCAGAGGGGGGUAGAAUUC
rnacentral:rRNA from 1 species